UGAUCGGAGAUCGGAUUCGAAUCGCCGAUGGUGGGAAGUGGGAGAUAGGGAUCGAAUAUGGAAGUGGGAGAGACGAGAAAUGUUUGGUUGGGUUAUCGCUGGUUUUGUUUAUUAUUCUUUCCCCCUAUAAAAUCUCUCUUGAUUUGUAGUAAUCGAAAUUAAAAUCACUCACCCAAAUUUGAUUUUGAUUCUCUCUAAUCUAACCCCCGUUU
rnacentral:lncRNA from 1 species